rnacentral:rRNA from 1 species
UACGUAGGGGGCUAGCGUUGUUCGGAUUUACUGGGCGUAAAGGGCGCGUAGGCGGCGUGACUAGUCACUUGUGAAAUCUCCGGGCUUAACUCGGAACGGUCAAGUGAUACUGUCGUGCUAGAGUGCAGAAAGGGCAAUCGGAAUUCUUGGUGUAGCGGUGAAAUGCGUAGAUAUCAAGAGGAACACCUGAGGCGAAGGCGGGUUGCUAGGCUGACACUGACGCUGAUGCGCGAAAGCCAGGGGAGCAAACGGG